rnacentral:rRNA from 1 species
AACGAACGCUGGCGGCGUGCUUAACACAUGCAAGUCGAACGGAAAGGCCCUGCUUUUGUGGGGUGCUCGAGUGGCGAACGGGUGAGUAACACGUGAGUAACCUGCCCUCGACUUUGGGAUAACUUCAGGAAACUGGGGCUAAUACCGGAUAGGAGCUCCUGCUGCAUGGUGGGGGUUGGAAAGUUUCGGCGGUUGGGGAUGGACUCGCGGCUUAUCAGCUUGUUGGUGGGGUAGUGGCUUACCAAGGCUUUGACGGGUAGCCGGCCUGAGAGGGUGACCGGCCACAUUGGGACUGGGAUACGGCCCAGACUCCUACGGGAGGCAGCAGUGGGGAAUAUUGCACAAUGGGCGGAAGCCUGAUGCAGCAACGCCGCGUGCGGGAUGACGGCCUUCGGGUUGUAAACCGCUUUCGCCUGUGACGAAGCGUGAGUGACGGUAAUGGGUAAAGAAGCACCGGCUAACUACGUG